rnacentral:rRNA from 1 species
GACGAACGCUGGCGGCGUGCCUAAUACAUGCAAGUUGAGCGCUGAAGGUUGGUACUUGUACCAACUGGAUGAGCAGCGAACGGGUGAGUAACGCGUGGGUAAUCUGCCUUUGAGCGGGGGACAACAUUUGGAAACGAAUGCUAAUACCGCAUAAAAACUUUAAACACAAGUUUUAAGUUUGAAAGAUGCAAUUGCAUCACUCAAAGAUGAUCCCGCGUUGUAUUAGGUAGUUGGUGAGGUAAAGGCUCACCAAGGCGAUGAUACAUAGCCGACCUGAGAGGGUGGUCCGCCAAAAUGGGACCGGGACACGGCCCAAAACCCUUAGGGGAGCAGCAGGAGGGAAUCUUCGGGAAAGGGCGAAAGGCUGAACGAGCAACGCCGCGGGAGUGAAGAAGGUUUUCGGAUCGGAAAACUCUGUUGGUAGAGAAGAACGUUGGUGAGAGUGGAAAGCUCAUCAAGUGACGGUAACUACCCAGAAAGGGACGGCUAACUACGUG